UACGUAGGGGGCAAGCGUUGUCCGGAAUCAUUGGGCGUAAAGCGCGCGUAGGCGGCCCGGUAAGUCCGUUGUGAAAGUCAAAGCUCAACCUUUGAACGCCGAUGGAUACUGCCGGGCUAGAGUCCGGAAGAGGCGAGUGGAAUUCCUGGUGUAGACGGUGGAAUGCGCAGAUAGUCAGGAGGAACACCGGUGGCGAAGGCGGGUCUCUGGGCCGAUACUGACGCUGAGGAGCGAAAGCGUGGGGAGCGAACAGG
rnacentral:rRNA from 1 species